UACGGGGGGGGCAAGCGUUGUUCGGAAUUACUGGGCGUAAAGGGCUCGUAGGCGGCCAACUAAGUCGGACGUGAAAUCCCCCGGCUUAACCUGGGAACUGCGUCUGAUACUGGAAGGCUUGAGGAUGGGAGAGGGAUGUAGAAUUCCAGGUGUAGCGGUGAAAUGCGUAGAUAUCUGGAGGAAUACCGGUGGCGAAGGCGGCAUCCUGGACCAUUACUGACGCUGAGGCGCGAAAGCUAGGGGAGCAAACGGG
rnacentral:rRNA from 1 species